rnacentral:rRNA from 1 species
AAAAACAUCGCCUCUUGAUAAAAUAUAAGAGGUCCAGCCUGCCCAGUGACAAAGUUCAACGGCCGCGGUACCCUAACCGUGCGAAGGUAGCAUAAUCACUUGUCCUUUAAAUAGGGACUUGUAUCAACGGCACCACGAGGGCUAUACUGUCUCCUUUCUCCAAUCAGUGAAACUGAUCUCCCCGUGAAGAAGCGGGGAUUCUACUAUAAGACGAGAAGACCCCAUGGAGCUUUAAACUCACCAUACACCUCUAUGCCCCACAUCAACUUACACAAGAAAUCUGUAUGCUAGUUUUAGGUUGGGGGGACCACGGAGUAUAAUUGAACCUCCAUAACAAAUGGGCUAACACCCUUAUCUACGAGAUACACCUCUAAGGAAUUACUAAACUAAUGUUUAAUGACCCAAUAAUUUGAUCAAUGAACCAAGUUACCCUAGGU